GUGUUAGAUAUCAUACAAAUCUCAAAGCCAAAUAUAGCCCUAGCAUCUACCUAUAUAUCUGAGAGUGAGGAAGAAAUAUGAGAAUGAGGGUUGUGGUUAUUGCACUAACAGUUGUUGUUGUGAUGGUUGGAAAUUGUUGUAUGGGUAUGAAUAAGAUGCAAGAACACAUGAAUGGUGAUAAUAAUGUUGAACAUGAUGAAAUCCCUGUGAACAGCUAUAGUGAUGUUACUAUUCAUCAAAGUCCUGGAACAGGUGGACCAGGCGAACGCACAGUGAGUCAUCAUGAGAUCCCUCGUAAUAAGGACUUCGGUCAAUCUGGUCCCCAAGGAAAUGCUUAGAACAUCAAGGAUUACAUCUCAUAUAUCUGGUUGUAUAAUUAUUGUGUAGUGUUGCAAUUCAUAUGUUUGAUAUGUAUGUUUUACGUUGCUACUAUUAGUAACUACUAAGUUUCUACGUGCA